AUUGAACGCUGGCGGCAUGCCUUACGCAUGCAAGUCGAACGGUAACGGGCCUUCGGGUGCCGACGAGUGGCGAACGGGUGAGUAAUGUAUCGGAACGUACCUUUCAGUGGGGGAUAACGUAGCGAAAGUUACGCUAAUACCGCAUAUUCUGUGCGCAGGAAAGCAGGGGAUCGCAAGACCUUGCGCUGAUUGAGCGGCCGAUAUCAGAUUAGCUAGUUGGUGAGGUAAAGGCUCACCAAGGCGACGAUCUGUAGCGGGUCUGAGAGGAUGAUCCGCCACACUGGAACUGAGACACGGUCCAGACUCCUACGGGAGGCAGCAGUGGGGAAUUUUGGACAAUGGGGGCAACCCUGAUCCAGCCAUGCCGCGUGAGUGAAGAAGGCCUUCGGGUUGUAAAGCUCUUUCGGCCGUGAAGAAAUCGUAUCAGCUAAUACCUGGUGCGGAUGACGGUACCGGCAUAAGAAGCACCGGCUAACUACGUGCCAGCCGCCGCCGUAAUAC
rnacentral:rRNA from 1 species